GACGAACGCUGGCGGCGUGCUUAACACAUGCAAGUCGAACGGAAAGGCCCUGCUUGCCGGGUACUCGAGUGGCGAACGGGUGAGUAACACGUGGGUGAUCUGCCCUGCACUUCGGGAUAAGCCUGGGAAACUGGGUCUAAUACCGGAUAGGAGCCAUUUUUAGUGUGAUGGUUGGAAAGUUUUUUCGGUGUAGGAUGAGCUCGCGGCCUAUCAGCUUGUUGGUGGGGUAAUGGCCUACCAAGGCGGCGACGGGUAGCCGGCCUGAGAGGGUGGACGGCCACAUUGGGACUGAGAUACGGCCCAGACUCCUACGGGGGGCAGCAGUGGGGAAUAUUGCACAAUGGGCGCAAGCCUGAUGCAGCGACGCCGCGUGGGGGAGGACGGCCUUCGGGUUGGAAACUCCUUUCGCUAGGGACGAAGCUUUUUGUGACGGUACCUAGAUAAGAAGCACCGGCUAACUACGUG
rnacentral:rRNA from 1 species